UCCCUCGUGGCGCAAUUGGCUAGCGCGUUCGACUGUUAACAAGAAGCAUGCGAUCGAGAGGUUGGUGGUUCGAGCCCACCCGAGGGAG
rnacentral:tRNA from 1 species